rnacentral:rRNA from 1 species
GAUGAACGCUAGCUACAGGCUUAACACAUGCAAGUCGAGGGGAAACGAUAGAGAAAGCUUGCUUUUUCUAGGCGUCGACCGGCGCACGGGUGAGUAACGCGUAUCCAACCUGCCCAUCACUUGGGGAUAACCUUGCGAAAGUAAGACUAAUACCCAAUGACGUCUCUAGAAGACAUCUGAAAGAGAUUAAAGAUUUAUCGGUGAUGGAUGGGGAUGCGUCUGAUUAGCUUGUUGGCGGGGUAACGGCCCACCAAGGCGACGAUCAGUAGGGGUUCUGAGAGGGAGGUCCCCCACAUUGGAACUGAGACACGGUCCAAACUCCUACGGGAGGCAGCAGUGAGGAAUAUUGGUCAAUGGGCGAGAGCCUGAACCAGCCAAGUAGCGUGCAGGAUGACGGCCCUAUGGGUCGUAAACUGCUUUUAUAAGGGAAUAAAGUGAGUCUCGUGAGACUUUUUGCAUGUACCUUAUGAAUAAGGACCGGCUAACUCCGUGCCAGCAGCCGCCGUAA